rnacentral:lncRNA from 1 species
AAAUCCUUCUUAUACUAAGAUUCUCCUCUCAUAUGGGCCGAUCAACAUCUAGAAUGGUGCUAGUUUGGGGCAUCCCAUCUGGGUGAGGGAUUGGGUGCAAAGUGGUUGUCAUAAGUGAUGGCAAUUCUAUCUCAUGUAAGAAUCAUUCUUUCCUGAGUAUUGGAUUGAUUCAAAUCAGAUUUGAGUUAGGAGUCCUAUACUUAUUAAGUCA